rnacentral:rRNA from 1 species
AGCUCUUUCAGCACGUGUCUUGGCGGUCAUCCGGCCCAGUCUCUACCCAUCAUUUUCAGGUUGACCUCGGAUCAGGUAGGAAUACCCGCUGAACUUAAGCAUAUCAAUAAGCGGAGGAAAAGAAACCAACAGGGAUUACCUCAGUAACGGCGAGUGAAGCGGUAACAGCUCAAAUUUGAAAUCUGGCCCUUGCGGGUCCGAGUUGUAAUUUGUAGAGGAUGUUUCGGGCAAGGCUCUGGUUUAAAUUUCUUGGAACAGAAUGUCACAGAGGGUGAGAGUCCCGUCUAGAACCGACCGCCGCGUCCACGUGAAACUCCUUCGACGAGUCGAGUUGUUUGGGAAUGCAGCUCAAAACGGGUGGUAAAUUUCAUCUAAAGCUAAAUAUUGGCCAGAGACCGAUAGCGCACAAGUAGAGUGAUCGAAAGAUGAAAAGCACUUUGAAAAGAGAGUUAAACAGUAUGUGAAAUUGUUGAAAGGGAAGCGCUUACAACCAGACUUGUGUUUCACGGUUCCCCCGGUCUUCUGACCGGGCUAUUCCGUGUGAUCCAGGCCAGCAUCGGUUUAGACGGCCGGUUAAAGGUCCUGGAAAUGUAUCUACCCCCGGGUUGACUUAUAGUCCAGGGCGUAAUGCGGCCCGCCCAGACCGAGGAACGCGCUUCGGCUCGGAUGCUGGCGUAAUGGUUGUAAGCGGCCCGUCUUGAAACACGGACCAAGGAGUCUAACAUCUAUGCGAGUGUUAGGGUGUCAAACCCCGACGCGGAAUGAAAGUGAACGGAGGUAAGAGCCCCUCCAGGGCGCAUUAUCGACCGAUCCUGAUGUCUUCGGAUGGAUUUGAGUAAGAGCAUAGCUGUUGGGACCCGAAAGAUGGUGAACUAUGCCUGAAUAGGGUGAAGCCAGAGGAAACUCUGGUGGAGGCUCGCAGCGGUUCUGACGUGCAAAUCGAUCGUCAAAUUUGGGUAUAGGGGCGAAAGACCAAUCGAACCAUCUGGUAGCUGGUUCCUGUCGAAGUUUCCCUCAGGAUAGCAGUAACGUUUUCAGUUUUAUGAGGUAAAGCGAAUGAUUAGAGGCCUUGGGGUUGAAACAACCUUAACCUAUUCUCAAACUUUAAAUAUGUAAGAAGUCCUUGUUGCUUAGUUGAACGUGGACAUUCGAAUGUAUCGUUACUAGUGGGCCAUUUUUGGUAAGCAGAACUGGCGAUGCGGGAUGAACCGAACGUGAGGUUAAGGUGCCGGAAUAUACGCUCAUCAGACACCACAAAAGGUGUCAAUGCAUCCAGACAGCCGGACGGUGGCCAUGGAAGUCGGAAUCCGCUUAGGAGUGUGUAAUCGUGGGGUUGUUGCACACCAGAAGUUUCUCAGAAACUAGUUCUCCUCCCCGCGGAGAACGACGGCUCCAGUCCGCUGGGAAUUGUAUGUUACCACCAGCAAUGGCCUUUUUGGAAGGUACAUCUACAGACUAGAAAGAGCUGGCCGUGGUCAACCGAUGACCGCGGUGAAGAUAUAGCCGAUGAGGGUCCUUGACGGGACUCUUUACCUAGAACAACUCACCGGCCGAAUGCAUUGGCCCUGAAAAUGGAUGGCGCUUAAGCGUGUUACCUAUACCUCGCCGUUAAAGUUGUAAUGAUGCUUUAACGAGUAGGCAGGCGUGGAGGUUUGUGACGA